rnacentral:rRNA from 1 species
GACGAACGCUGGCGGCGUGCUUAACACAUGCAAGUCGAACGGAAAGGCCCUGCUUUUGUGGGGUGCUCGAGUGGCGAACGGUGAGUAACACGUGAGUAACCUGCCCUUGACUUUGGGAUAACUUCAGGAAACUGGGGCUAAUACCGGAUAGGAGCUCCUGCUGCAUGGUGGGGUUGGAAAGUUUCGGCGGUUGGGGAUGGACUCGCGGCUUAUCAGCUUGUUGGUGGGGUAGUGGCUUACCAAGGCUUUGACGGGUAGCCGGCCUGAGAGGGUGACCGGCCACAUUGGGACUGAGAUACGGCCCAGACUCCUACGGGAGGCAGCAGUGGGGAAUAUUGCACAAUGGGCGGAAGGCCUGAUGCAGCAACGCCGCCGUGCGGGAUGACGGCCGUCG